UGUUUAUAUCACGAGAAUCAAAACUAAAUACAAAUCACAGAACGAUACGACGCUUGACGUAUGUGUUUCUAAUAUUAAUAAUUAGUGGAAGAGACAAAUUAAUUUCAUAUUCCUUUCCAUAUUCUCGAUUGCACUGAGGAGUAUUUGUGUUAAUGUUGGUGAAUAUUAAAAGGUUGUCGCUUUUCGCUUUGUCAGAUUUUAGACAAGAGCAAUUAUCACUUAUCACCUUCUCUGAUUCGAUUUAGAUAACCUGACAACUGGACCAGAAACAAAAUUUGUCUUUGCCUGACACCUCUCUUCGAAAUUAAUUAAAAAGUAAUCUAAAUAAAACAACUUUCAAGAAUCUGCCUGUGAACGAGCUUUGGAAGAUAUGCGACAAUGUUGCAUUAAAUGGGGUACUGCUAGCUUUGUUUGUGGUGGAAUAGAUACAGAAAUUAACAGAAGGUACAAGAAAUGAAAUCUUAUCAAGAAGAGAAACGAAAAGCCCUUCUAAAAGAUAGAGGUUUUAUCUACAGAUAUCCUAAGUUUUCUGUUUGGUCGCUCACAAUAUUAGGCACACUUGUGUUCUUCUCAAAACCCAUUUAUGAUUUUUUCAUCCGAGAUCAGCAGGAUUUAAGGCUAGAAAUUGAAGAACUUCGGCGAACGCAUAAAUCUAGAUUUGAAAGAGAUUAGAAUGGAGUCUGUAAAAGCUGCUAAAAAAAGACUUCGACAGUAUCCUUUAUUACUUGCUAAGUGUGGAGUUGAA